rnacentral:rRNA from 1 species
UUCGAGUGGCGGACGGGUGAGUAACGCGUGGGUAACCUGCCUUACACAGGGGGAUAACACCUGGAAACAGGUGCUAAUACCGCAUAAGCGCACAGGGCCGCAUGGCCCGGUGUGAAAAACUCCGGUGGUGUAAGAUGGACCCGCGUCUGAUUAGCUUGUUGGCGGGGUAGGGGCCCACCAAGGCGACGAUCAGUAGCCGGCCUGAGAGGGCGGACGGCCACACUGGGACUGAGACACGGCCCAGACUCCUACGGGAGGCAGCAG